GACGAACGCUGGCGGCGUGCUUAACACAUGCAAGUCGAGCGGUAAGGCCUUUUCGGGGGUACACGAGCGGCGAACGGGUGAGUAACACGUGGGUGACCUGCCCUCACUUCUGGGAUAAGCCUGGGAAACUGGGUCUAAUUCCGGAUAUGACCUUUCCUCGCAUGGGGUUUGGUGGAAAGUUUUUUCGGCGGGGGGUGGGUGCGCGGGCUGUCAGCUUGUUGGUGGGGGGGUGGGCUACCAAGGCGACGACGGGUGGCCGGCCGGGGAGGGCGACCGGCCACGCUGGGACGGAGGCACGGGCCAGACUCCUACGGGAGGGAGCGGUGGGGAAUAUUGCGCAAUGGGCGGAAGCCUGACGCAGCGACGCCGCGUGGGGGAGGACUGCCGGCGGGUAAUAGACGUCGUUCGACCCCGACGAAUUUUGACGGUAGGGGUAGAAGAAGCACCGGCCAACUACGUG
rnacentral:rRNA from 1 species